rnacentral:lncRNA from 1 species
UUUUUUUUUUUUUUUUUUUUUUAAUAAGCUUUGUCCAUUGGUACUAUUUUCAUGUUGCCAAUUCAGCUUGAAUUGGUUGUGCAUCUGGCAGUAGGUCUCAGAUCCAACCUGUUGGUGCUUCAUGAGUAAAACAUCUCACCUAUAAGAUCCUAUUCUUUGAUGAGAGAUUAAAUGCAGGAGGAAUAUUCUGUAGGAUGGCUCUAUUUUCAUAGAGUAGAAAUUAUAAGUCAUGAAGAAUGGUCUUGAGGCCUUGACUCCUAGAUGAAGCUUAAGGUGUAGAAACAGGUGUAUGAAAUAGAAGAAGAUUUGAGGUUUGAAUCAUCUGGCUGAGGUAUUUCUUUACUUCAUUUUGAAUGCCAGAAGGCCAUGGAAACAAACUCUGGAGAGAAUCGGGUGAGAGAAAUGGGUAGUUCUUUAUUUCUCGAAGUUAGCUGACCUUCACUAUACCUCUCUCUUCCCUAGUUCCUCUGUACAAGGUGGUGUUGUUACACAGAACUGUGACCUUGACUUUCGCCAAUAAAUUAUUUUCCUUUGUCUGCAUUAUGUAAGAACAGCAGGUAUUGUUAAGGCAUAGAAGGCCUUCUUCAUGUUGUCAGCCUUGAUACUGUGCUCACCAGUGUGUGUCUUCUAUCCUACACACUUUGCUUUUCUGUACAGGUCAAGGACUUGUCUCUUAGCCUGUGGAUUGCUUAGUUCUAGCAUUUGCAUCCAACCCAAAUUUCAUUUAGUCAUUCCAACUUGUAAGCACAAUGAGCAUUGCUUUUCUAUAUGGAAACAUAAUAUAAUAACAAAUAAUAAAAUGACCUUAUCACUUCUGUUUCUUUAAGAUGCUAGAGAGUUCUUUGUCUUGAAGAUCCAGAGCAGUUGUCUUUGUUCUUCCCCGUGACCUCUUAAUACAGUUCCUCAUGAUGUAGUGACUAUGCCAACCAUAAAAUAUUUUUAUUGCUUCUUCAUAAGUGUAACUUUGCUACUGUUAUGAAUUGUAAUAUAAGUAUGUUUUCUGUUGGUCUUAGGCUACCCCUGUGAAAGGGCUGUUCAACCCAAAAGGGUUGAGAACCUUGCUCAUCCAGAGAAAAGGCUACAUGGCUAGUGUAUUAGUUACUUUCUUGCUGGGACAAAAUGGCUGACAGUGGUAUGUUAAGGAAGGAGGCUUGUAAGGGCUCAAGGUUUGAGUAUACCAUCCAUCACGUCUUGGGAAGCUUCAAGAGUGGCUGAUUAGGCGACUAGUCACACUGUACCUGCAGUUAGGAAACAGAGAGAGUCAAAUAUGGACAUUCCACUUGAUUUCUUCUUUUCCUUCUGCCUGGGAACUCAGCCCAGGGCAGUCUGUUACCACACUCAUGGUGGAUCUUAACUACUCAGAUCCUCCACCCUGGAAACACCCCAGAUAAACAUGCC